AAGUUUGGUAACGGGGCUGCGCGAGGUCUUCCUUCUCGUUUGAUCCUUUCGCGGUCAAACUGCGCAUGCGUCCUUCUGAGACGCUUUCCAGUCAGAGAAAAAAUAGACACCCCCCCUCCCCCCGCCCUUUCUUCGUCGCUGAGGAAGGUAGGAACGAUAAGCGGAGGAUGGCCCGACUUCCCCUAUGACUGACCCAAAUUGACCUAUCGUCAGUGAUUUCUGCACUGAAAAAUCAGCUAAGGGUUUUUGUGUUUGUAAUGGGUGAGAGUUCUCCUGGAAACCUUCAUCAUGUUGAAUC